CCCCCGCCUCAGCCCCCGGCCCCCGGCCCCCAGCCCAGCUCCGGAGAGCCAGAGACCAGCAGAUCCAGAACACCCAGAACAGCCUCUUCUAUUUCUGCUCUGCCUAGCGCGGGUACUGCGCCAGCUAAAAAUACCCGAACCCGCGUGGUGGCUCAUCUGGAAAGAUGACUGCUCUUUCACGUGAAGACAGAAAUGCCACCAAUGUAGCCGCGUCCCCCAGCGACUGUGAGACGAACCCUAUUUUGCGGGAGCUAAAAGGCAAGGAAGGACAGAAGGCAUCUCAGAACCAACGAGAUCCCAGCACAUCGCGCACAAAAUAACAAGUCUGGCAGGGAAAGCCCCGAAGAAAGAAACCUACGAGCGGACACAGAAACGUCGAGGAGACGCCCUGCCAGGGGCCCCCCACGCGGGAACGGUCUCCGUGCACAGGCAAAGACCCGCGUCGCCGCUCAGGACACAGAUCAACUCUCAGGAGACCGGUGAGCGUGUGGCCGCGUGGACACGUGCCUCUCCCGUGACCCAGCAGCGCCACCUGCGCGCGGACGUUCACGGCAGCAAGACGGCAACGGCUCCUGUCCCCCGAAGCCACCCACGCGCUGGCCACUGGUGGCCGCGUCCACGGCCUAGGACUAGGAGGACCGACACCUGGCACCACGUGGACAGGCCACGCAAUACGGUGAGUGAGAAGAAAGGACUGCGUUCUGAACGACGCCACUUAAAAGACUGUGCAAAAGGCAAAUCGACAAGGACAGGAAGCCGGUGGGGAGGCCGCAGGGGGCCAGGGCUGGGGCGGGAGGACCCGGAGACAUUUGAGGGGAGGCAGACUGAUCUGAUCUUGACCGUGACCCUGGUUCUCGACUGAUUACAGCCCCCAGAGUCAUCGCCUGUACGCUUGGAAUCGGUACACUUCACUGUGUGCAAACACUUGGAAUAACCACCCAACAAGGGGAGGGAAAGGUGGGCCUGACCCGGGAGCACAGACGAGUCUCACCCGAAUUCUGCGGAGAGAAGCAGACGCAAGGACGCAGGGCACGACCGUGCCCACCUGAUGUUCUAGGACGGGCAAACGCACCCCGAGUGACAGAGAGCAGAUCCAGGGCUGCCUGGGGCGGGCGGGUGACGGCAGCGUCCUCUGUCUGACCGUGCUCUGGUGCCACAGCCCAAGACUCAAGCGGGUGCACCUCACGCCCCUUCUGGGGAGGCACGGACGUCAAACCUCAGUCACUCAGACGUAAGAGGGCACCUCAGGGUCUCCCGGGGUUUGGGGGCCACACGUGACACUGCACAGAAGUGCCCUGUCCCUGUACCUGAGACAGGAGAAGCUGAGGGCCAGGGAGCCGGGGAGGCCACCCCCGGAACCUCAGAACAGCCCGGGGCCAGCUCCCUGGGCACGUGUGGGACAGGCACGCUGGGGCCCGCGCCUCCCUCGCGUGCCCUGACUGCUGCCUCCAAAGGGAGGGACCCCCCCCGACCAGGCCAGGGACAAAAUGCACCCACUGCUCCCGGGGCCCUCCCAGCAGGUGGGCGGGGAUCCAACAGCGUAGACAGCCUGGGCCCAGGUCAGGAGGUGGUGAGGGGUGCUUAGGAUUGGGAUUCGCACGACAGACCUAGCCUUCCCCGUUCCCCGCGGGACCCCCAAGGGGCAGCUGGGCUGCAGGGGGGAGCAGCCCCCCAACAGGCUAGGGGUCUGCCUGUCUGCUGCCAUGCUGGGAGCGAGGGGCUGCCCUAGUC